CCUGGAACUCACUUUGUGACUAUACUGGCCUCAAACUCAUAGAGAUCCUCCUGCCUCUGCCUCCUGAGUGCUGGGAUUAAAGGUGUGUGCCACCACUGCCCAGCUCUUUUUUUUUUUCUUUCUUUUUAAAGACAGGACCUCAUUGUAGCCUAGUCUGGUCUCAAACCUACUUUAUAGAUAAAGAUGACCUUUAACUCCUGCUUUUCCUACGUCUACCUCUGAAAUGUUAGGAUUACAGGUAUGUGUUACAAUGCUUGGUUCCUUUUAUUUCAUUUUAAGGAAAAGAUUAUUUUAAAAAUGGUUUUUAAAAAGUUUUAUUAUUUCAUUUAUGUAUAAGAGGGAGAUUAUAUAUAUAUGUAUAAGAGGGAGAUAUUAUAUAUAUAUAUAUAUAUAUAUAUAUAUAUAUAUAUAUAUAUAUAUAUAUAUAUAGAGAGAGAGAGAGAGAGAGAGAGAGAGAGAGAGAGAGAGUGUAUGCUUUCAGGCACCCUUGGAAGCUAGAAGAGGAUGUCGGAUCUCCUGGAAUUUGAGUUCUAGGCAGAUAGUUGUGAGAAGCCCAUGUGGGUGCUAGGAUCUGAACUCAGGUCCUCUGGAAAAGCUGCAAGUGCUCUUAACCAGUGAGCCAUCUCUUCAGCUGCCCCACCAACAUGCUUUAAAGUUGAAAUAACAAUAACUUAGAAAAUACAAAUUCACAUCAAAGAACUGAGAAAAUGCAUCCCCUCCUCCAUUUAAAUUAUUUAUUUAACUUUAUUUUUUGUUUUCAAGACAGGAUUUCACUAUGUUGCCCUCAAUGACCUGGAAUUUGCCAUGUUCACCAUGCUAGCCUUGAACUCACAGAGAUCCACCUGCCUCUGCCUCCUGGGUGCCUCUUAAUUUAAAAGACAGAUGCAGCUGGGCUGGAGAGAUGGCUCUUCCAGAGGACCUGAGUUCAGAUCCCAGCACCCACAGCCAAUGGCUUACAAUUGCUUGUAAGUCAAGGUCCAUGGGAGCCCAUAGCCUAACUUCUGGCCUCUGCCUCUUGGGGACACCUGUGUUCACAUGCACAUACCUCUUCCUGCUACCGGUAAUUAAAAAAAAUUCUUCAAGAAAGUAUGGCUACACCCAGUUUGAACCCAAACAAGCAUCUCCUAAGAGCGUGCACCUCUGGUCCAGGAGGGCCAGAAUUCAGGAAAAGGGUUAGGUUACAGCUGCUUAACAGCAAGCUAGCAGAGACUUACCCAGCAUUUUUGCAUUCCAAUCACACUAACACAUAAGGAUGGGACUCAGACAAACAUUCCACCUUCAGUAGCCAAAUCUGUGAACAGCACAUGUUCUCCAAGGACUGAGAGGCCCCCAAGGCCAUCAGGGAACUUCUGAUAUGUCAUUGUUACGUGUUUUCUGUGUUGGUCUCCUGAGCUGCCGGGUCUCUCAGUGCCUGUGCCUGCACAGGGUAACAGGCCUGCCACGUGGCCCUGCUAAGUAGAGGACCGAGCCCAACCCAGGCUACUUGGGCCUUCACAUGGCAGAGUCUCUGGCUCUUCUCCUCCGGGAAACCACCACCUGUACAACCUCUGGUCACUAGGCCUGCUCCUUGGUGGCUUCCUUCUGCUGAAUACCCAAGGGUCCCAUUCAGGCAGCUCUGAGGAUGGUGGAUGCCUUGUGUUAUUCCUGGAAGGGCAAUCUGACCCCACCUUAUGAGCCAAGGACGGCAAUGCCGACACACUGGGAAGCCCUCGUGGGGUACCAGGGAGACCUGGGCUCCCUUUCCAUGGGCUGCCUCUUCCCUAGCCAGGGCAGAGCUCAGUGGUUUUGCAUGCACAUUCUACAUUCCUCACUCACCAGAUACCCUGAGACAUUUCUUUUCCCCUUCCAAGAAGUCACUUCAGUGUUCCUUAGCUGAUUUCACAAGUGAACGUCUCUCUUAGAAGACAUUUCUUCUAAGCCUAAGCUCUGAAUCUCCUGGCUACACACAGGGUCUCUCUGUGUAACAGCCCUGGUUGUCCUGGAUCUCGCUCUGUAGCCCAGGCUGGCUUCAAACUCACAGAGAUCCGCCUGCCUCUGCCUCCUGAGUGCUGGCAUUAAAGUCAAGCACCACCACCACCACCCAGCUCAGCCUGAGCUCUUAAGACUAAAUGUCUCUUAUGAAUUUGCAAAGCCACUGUAGCCCAGUCACUGCCUGGCCCUUGUCCCUUGGCUGACACACACAUAUACAUAUACUCACAUACCAUAAAUAAAUGCAAAAAAGAAAAAAAGAUUUUGAAAGUCUGUUCAAAAUGUCAAGUACCUAUGAUCUCAAAGUUUUUGGGAAUCACUGCUCUCCAUCUGGGACUGAACACAGAGCCUUGUGGAUGCUGGCCAAGUGACCUACCACUAAGCCACAUUCUCAGCCCUAGGAAUUUUCUAUCUUGAAACUGAAUUUAUGCUCAAGCGUCCCCUUAACAGCCUUAUCUGUUCCAUGUCACUAUUAUUCCCCAGCAGCAGCCCUGGAAAUACAGUUCCCCUCCCUGGGACCCACCUGCUGACAUGGCCCUAGACUGCUGGAAAUGGGGAGCUGAACUUGAAGAAGGCCUGGGAGAGGGAAGCGAAGCAAGGAUAUAAAAACCUCUCAAGAACAAGGCAUGGAAGAAACACCAGUUCAGAGGAGGGCAGGGUACAGGGUGGAUGCAUGUAUUAAUUUUUAAAUUUUCAAAAAUUGUGUGUGUGUGUGGUGUAUGUAUAGAGGAUGUUUGUGUGUAGGUUAAUAUGGGUGUGUAGGUGUGCGUGUAUAGGUGUGUGUGUGUAGGUUUAUGUGUGUGUAUAGGGGAUGCUUGUGUGUAGGUUUAUGUGGGUAUAUAGGGGUGUGUGUGGGUGUAUGUGUGAGUAUAGGGGAUGUUUGUAUGUAGGUUUAUGUGUAUGUGUAUAGGGGAUGUUUGUGUGUAGGUUAAUGUGGGUAUACAGGUGUGUAUGUGUGUGUGUGUGUGUGUAUAGGGGAUGUUUGUGUGUAGGUGUGUGUGUGUGUAGGUGUAGGCCAGAGGACAAUCUACAGGAGUUGGUUCUUUCCUUUCACCUGAGUGGAUCUAACUCAAGGUCAUUAAGGCUCAGUGCCUGAACUGACGUCCUGCCCCAGCUUCCCGAGUACUGGUAUUAUGGGUGUACAUCAUCACCCUACUUGAAGAUGGGUCUAUAGUAACAAGGGUUCAGACUUGGCAUCCAGUGAAGUCCCCUUUCCUCCUAUCACUGUCCGGAAAAAGCAGGUUGUUUCUGACGUUGCUGUGAAUAUGAUUAGCAAAAAUCAUCAGUACAAAGUCAGACUGGCUACAGCACACGACAGGCACCCUAACCAGAAGCCACUCUGUAAGUGACAAGGAAAGCUGCAACAGCUGUAGGAAUGCAAGGGCACUGAGACUCGGUGGAGGGGACACAAAACUAAGUCAGACACAGUCUACAAAGGCGAGUGGAAAAGCUUUUCUGGAGUACAAAUCCUGAUAUUCCCCUUAUUAAAUUUACACACGGAGGAGUUGCUACUCGAGACAAGAAUGGAAACCGUGAGACUUGGGUCUAACUGCCUGCCCUCUACAGGAAACUCAUCUAGGAGUUAAGUUGGCCUCAUGAAGUUAUGAUGAGAGUCAUUUCUUGAAAUUACCUAAAAAGUAAUCCAUGUUGGUAUAAUUCAGAUUAAAAUUUGUUUUUUACGAAGUCACAGUGUCCUCCAGGUCAAUGAUGAGGUCAAACACACUGACGUUAUUCUGGAAUGUGUGUAGGCCUGGGGGAGAAAGGAGGCCAGCAGCCGUGUGUCUGUCCAGUCCUCACUUUGGAAGGGGCAGCCUGGCCUGCCCCAAUGUCCUCCUGUCUUGGCAUUCAGGGCUGCUGGGCUCUACAGGUGCUAUGCUUUGGGGCUCUCUGGGACUCUCUUUUGUCCUGGCCUCUGUCCCAACAAGGGAGCCCUGGGACCCAUUGCAGACUUGCCCCAGCUCUGUCCCACUCAUGCUGCUGAGAAUGACCUGUCAAAGUAGCCUGAGCAGCUGGGCACAGUGGCCCAUGCCUGUAAUCUCAGCGCUUGGGAGGCGGAGGCAGAGGACCAGGCAUUCAGGACCAACUAGGGCUACAUGAGACGGCCUCAAAACCAACCAACCGGUCAACCCAACCCAAACAAACCAUUCCACAAACAGAAGCAGCCCCGACCAAACCGUGCCUUGGGGAGUCUCACUGCCUCCUUCCGUGGCUCUUUUCUCAUGGGAGUAUGUUCUCAGGUCUCUGGGCUGUGGCUCCUUCUGCUGCUCAGCUCCUUCUCCGUCCUAGUCAACCUUCUCGAGGUACCCCUAUCUUUUCAUCUGCCUACGUGAAUCCCCCUCCCCACUUCGUCUCGGCUCACUGUCACUGUCCUCUCUUUGGAGCUCUUCCCCAUCUAAGGAGACUCGAGUACCUUGCCUUUACUCUUUUUGAUUCUUCCCAGAAUUAGCAAUCAGGGUAGCAUGCUGACUCCCACUGUUUAAGGGGUGCAGAGGGGUACAUCCCUGCUGUGCCUUGUCAGAGCCUACUUAGUGGGAAUAUCCAUGAAAAAAGACCUCCACUAUCUCAAAAUAGUUAAAACACAUAACUGCCAUAUGACCUGAAACUCCACUCCCAAGUACAGACCCCAAAGAACUGGGACUUAACAACAUGUACAUGGACAAUCAAAGAAACACUCUUUUCAACAGUCAGAGGGAGGUAACGAACCAACGCCCAUACAUUAACAGAUGAAUAUAGAGACAAAACACGGCAUGUCGACAUAAUGGAAUAUUACUAAGCCACACAAAGUAAGUCUUGCUUCAGCCUACAAAGUGAACGGGCCUUAUAAACACUGAAUAACGGCGAGCACCAGUGCAUGUUAUACCGUUCCAUUAGAUGAAGUAUCUAGAGAAGGAAGGGUCCUGGAGACAGGAAGCAGACUGCUGGCCUUCAGGGGCUGCUUAAUGGCUGUACUUCUUCAGAGGAGUGAUAAAAAUGUUCUGGAACCACAUAGUAGUGAUGGUUACAUAACACUGCAAAUAUAUUAAAUGUCACUGACUGUAUACUUUCAAAUGGUUCAUUUUGGGCUGGCAGGAUAGUGGACAAAGACGCUUGCCUCAAGGGCCUGACAACCUGACCUGGAUCUCCAGAUACCACACAAAGGCUGUCCUCUUGGCUCCACAUGCAAGCUAUGGCAGGGCACUCCCCGCCCUCAAAAACAAUCAAACUUUAAAUGUGGUGCUGCCAACUGAACCUGGGUCCUUUGCCGGACGGAACAAGUGUUCUUUAUCACUGAGCCACCUCUCUAGGCCUAAAAAGGUUAUAAUUUUAUGUUAUAUAAUUUUCAAAUCAAUUUAAAAAAAGGAGGAGUUUCAAGGAAAUGUGGCAGGCAGCAUGGUCAGAAAAGAGGACUCUCGAUAAGGCAUUCAAGAAAAAUGGGAGCUUAAGAAGUGCCUGUUCCAUGAGCACUGUCCUUAGACAUAGUCCCUAAGCCUGAGAAGGGAACAGACCCAGGGUUAAAGGGCCUGUUCCAUGAACACUGUCCUUAGACACAGUCCCUAAGCCUGAGAAGGGAACAGACCCAGGGUUAAAGGGCCUGUUCCAUGAGCAUGUCCUUGCACACAGUCCCGAAGUCUGAGAAGGGAACAGACCCAGGGAUAAAGAGUGAGGAGGCCUGGGCGCAUAGCUCAGUGGUGGGGUGUGCUUAGCAGGCAUGACACCCUGGAUUCCAUCCUUGGACAACAAAUCAAGCAAUGAAGAUCGGUAGGAAAGUGGGGAGGCUACCCUCCUCCCUAUGGGCGGGCCUGGGCUCGGAUUAGGACACGGUGUAGGGCAGGACGACUAGAGUGUGUGCAAGCCCAGGGGGGUGGUCGGCACAGCCCCUAAGCAAGGCUGCUUUCCUGCACCUCAGCCCAGUUAGCAAUGAAGCCAGGGGUUUCCCAUCCAAGUCACCUGCCUGGCUAGCCUCAGAUGGCAGUGGACUCUGAGGCCUGGAGCUCCAGGGGAACAGGGAUGGCAUCACAAAGCCGCAAGGAGAAAUCUCUUUCCCCAAUUACGUGGACCCACGUGUCUGCUUCAUAGUUAGGAUUUUCAUAAAGCUUUUAAGGAAGGCGAUUCCCUGACAUCACACGUAAAAAAUGCCAAAUACGAUCAGAUCACUGAGGGCAUUCUUGGAAGAGAAGGCAGCCUUGAGGCUGGCUGGGGUCCCCUGUCUUCUCCCUUAGGGCCACUUGCUGCUCUUGAUCCCAGCCCUCUGGGUGCCCCCUCUGUCAGCUCAGCUGUCCAGUGGCCCUCAUCUGAACAACACUGGAGAACUGUAUGCUCCCCAGAGGUGUGGUAGAGUUUCUGGGGAGCGGCAUGUGUCGUUCCACCCUGGGCCAGCCUACAGUGGGGGUGAAGGAAGGGAAUCUCCUUCUACUGGGAUCCUUAGGAGUCACUGUUAAACUGCCUUUCCCCUUCCCAGUUCAUUCUGCAACCAGAAAUGUUCCAGGCUUGGGAAACAGAGGUUUGCUUUUUUUUUUUUUGAGACAGAAACAAACAAACAAAACAAAAAUAGGGUCUCUCUAUGUAGCCCUGGCUGUCCUGGGACGCACUCUGUAGACUAGGCUGGCCUUGAACUCACAGAAAUCCAUCUGCCUCUGCCUCUGGAGUGCUAGGAUUAAAGGCCUGUGCCGCUGCCGCCGCCGCCGCCGCCGCCGCCGCCGCCGCCACUGCCGCUGCCGCCGCCACCACCACCACCCGGCUUGAAACAGUGAUUUUUCUUAAAAGCCUAUUUUAGAUGGCUUCUGGCUUCGGAAGGCUCAGGGACAGGGCACUUGCUCAGCAUGUGUGAGGCUCUGGUUUUGAUCUCCAGGGGGAGGGGAGCCAUUAUGAAAACAGUUCUUCAGUCCAAAUCUGUUGUGCUGGGACACACUCAUCGCUCCUGUCAUCCUGUGUCCCCUUCCUCCUGGCAGAUGUACUGUACUCCAGCCCUCCAGCUGCAGCCGCGCCUUCUCCUCCCGGCCUCUGCUUUGGAUACCCGGCACUCUCAGCCGGCCUGUCUCUCCCUCUGCAGUCCACCCUAAGCACUUGGCAGUCUUGUGAACCUGAGCAGCGGAGCUGGCCUUCUGCUGCACGUUAGGCAUACUCAGUGCCCUUCACAUCAGGAAGACGUCCUGUUGGCAUUUGCUUUCCUCGUCCUUCAAUCCGUCAAUCCCAGUUUCGAUGCUCCAAAUGUUUUGUGAGCUAUGGAAUCCCCCCAUCUUAUGGAUGGUGAAACCGACACCCAAGAAUGGUGCCAACUAGUUCAGAUGGGAAGUCACUUCUGAUUCCGGGUCAGCCGCCUAUCUCCAAAACAGCACAGCUCUGCAAAGCUCUCCUGUCCAGAUGGGAACACUGGCCUGGGUCAGGAGAUGCUCUGUGCUGGGAAGAGGGAUGGAGAGAUGCACACAGAGAAUGGGCAGCAGAGUCUGAGGCAGUCAGUGGGUUCUGAUGCAGGGGAGCUCAGAGGACUGUCCAGAGUAGACUAUCUGGUGUUUGGAGGGAGCCAGAGCAGGAAAGCAGAACGCUAUGAAGAAUCCACCAUAACUGAGAGGGGUCGACUUCCCUGGUUAGUCAGGCCUAGGAGGAUUCUAAGGUUUCUUCUGAUCAGGCCAACUUAGUGGGAAUCUCCCCGCACCCACACCAUUACAGUCUAGGCCACUCCCACCUUCCCCAGGGGCAUCUGUUCGAGGAGGAUGCACAUGAGCUCAGCCUGGAUAUGGGAGCCCUUCCUUCCUGCUCAAGGUGAAGGUCAGUGAUUCACAUGGCUAAAAAUGAACUGAAGGCCACCCAUUAAAAACAGCAACAUGCUCUCAAAAGUUCAAUUCCCUUGUUACCACAAACGCUUAUUUAGUCACUGUAACUCUAACUCGCACUCAAAUAUGUACACUGAACUGCAGUACAAACAAAAUGAGGAAAGAGAAGGUCAGGGUGGGAAAGCCACAGAGACACAGCCCCCCCCCCCCCCGGCAGGAGUGGGAGGGUCUGCGGCCCUGACAAUGUGUCCUGGUGUUCUAAUACUGCUUCGUGUUGCUAGUGCCUUUACCUGGAAGCUUCCAGAGAGAGGGGAGCUAGGGUAAAUACAGGUCACUGGGCUUCAUUUGAAUUUUAGGUAAACAAUGGAUUAUAAUUGUUUACUAUCAGUAUUUCCAAAUAAUGUCCGGGGUGUUGAAGUUUAUGAGUGAGUGAGGCGCUUUACUAAGGCAUUUUGCUAAGUUGUGGUGAACUCAGGAGUCAGGAUGAGGGGUGCGGUGGGUUACAGACCUCCUGCCAUGGUCCCCUGUCAGCUUUUGGUCUCUGAGCACUCUCCUCUUCAGCUGAGACUGUUCUGCCUCUGUCCCUGCAGAGGGGCUACAGAAACUACACCCAACUUCACAGGACUUCCCCUGGACUGCAGGGAACAUGGCCUGUGGGAGGCUUCCAGAAGGUUCUGGAGGUUCCAUGGUAGGAAGUAAGGUUGUGGGAGCACAAAGGAACCCUCAACACUAAAACAAACAUUGUCCCUAAGUCUUGGGGAGUUCAAAAAGGAAUUUUCAAUUCAGUUUAGCUGCCACACAGCUUUCUGAGUAGAGUGCCUAAGCUGGCUUCCCCAGCUAAGGAAGAAGGGAGCUUUCAGUUCUUUAUGGCACGUUCACUGGGCACUGGCUGAGGACCCACAGUGAUGGGCGACAGGGAUCACCGCAAUUUGUUAAGGAGCCAAAAGAGGCUGCCUUGAGACAAAAACAAAGACUCGAUACUUUGAGUCCAUGAGUCCUGAAGUCCAGGGAGUCUUCAGUCAUGGCUGCUGGCUAGGGAAACCUGGCAAGGUCACACAUCACCACUGGCUGCAGCUGUUUAACCCCGUGCUGACUGCCACUGAAUGCACACCUGGCUGUGCAUUCACACACUCACACUCCUUGCUAGGUCCCUGCAGUUGGAGGGGACUGGAAUGUAUAGUAUAGCUUUCUAGAUGUACAAGUCCUGGCUGUCCUGGCUCUCACAUUGUAGACCAGGCUGACCUCAAACUCACAGAGACCUGCCUGCCUCUGCCUCCCGAGUGCUGGGAUUAAAGGUGUGCACCACCACCACCUGGCUUCAUUUUCUUUUUUUAAAAUAAAAAAUUUACAUUUUAUUUAUUUAUUUUAUUUAUUUAUUUAUUUUGUGAGCAUUUGUGGAUGUGUGUGUACAAGUGUGUAUAUGUGCCAUAAGCAUGUGUGUAAAGUCAGAGGAAACUUGUGGGAAUUGGUUCUGUCCUUCUACCACGUGGGGUCCAGGGAUCAAAUUCAGCUUGUCAGGUUUGCUGGCAAAUGCCUUUACCCACCGAGCACCUCACUGGCUUCUUUUCCUUCCUUGAGACUUGCUAUUUAGCCCAGGCCAUGCUUGAACUUGUGACAAUCCUCCUGCUGAUGUUAGGAUUACAGGCAUGCACACAAUGCCCAGUAUGUUCUGUUCCUUUCCCAAACAGCAGUAUCUCAUGGUGCCUGUACAUGCUAAUUCAUAUGGAUCUACGCCAUGACUUUUACCUUCUGCUGUCUAGGAAGGGAUUCAAGUUUAUUUAAUUCUUUGGUGUACACUUGGGUUGUUUUAUCUAAAUAGUAUUAAAGGGCUUGACACUGUCCCCCCUGAACAUGGAGGGCCUCACAAACCAUAGCAGUGUCUCUGUUGUUCAAGCUUCUCUUGGAAGCACUGGUAAAGGGAUACCUAACACUUUACAUUUCACUUCCAUCGUACUAAGCAACUUAAUUUGGAAACGUAGAUGUCAGUGCACUUCAUCCUCUGAGUGUGUGUCCUCCAGGAUGCCUGUUCACGUUAUUCUUUCCUUUUUAUUUCUUCUGGUGCUGUGGACGGAACCUAGGAACUACUUGCAUGCUCUACCACUGAGCUACCUGCUCCCCUUAAGCCUACUUUCUCCUUCAAAAAUUUUUUAUUUUACAUGUGUGGGUGUUUUGCCUGUGUAUAUAUCUAUGCACCACGUGUGCCUGGUACACAGAGGAGGCCAGAAAAGGGUAUCAGAUCUUCUGGAUGUAGAUGUUGAGAAUUGAACCCAGGUCUUCUGGAAGAGCAGCCAGUGAUCUUGACCACUGAGCCAUCUCUCCAGCCCCCCUCUCCCCACUUCUGAGACAAGAUUUCUCUGUGUAGCUUUGGCGCCCUUCCUGGAACUCACUCCGUAGACCAGGCUGGCCUCAAAUGCACAGAGAUCCGCCUGGCUCUGCCUCCCGAAUGCUGGGAUUAAAGGUGUGCGCCACCACCGCCCGGCUCCUUACUCUCUUUCUAUAAGCAUUGUAAAGCUGUGAAAGUUUCACUCUGUGAUCUGUGAAGUCAUACUACGAUCACCACCUAUGUCUACUAUUUGAAACACAUUCUGUUCUUCCUCUUGCUGUUUACCUAGAAUAGUUCUAAGCAUCCCUUUAUUUCCAGAGACUGUGUUAUUAAAGGGGCAUCCCUUUAUCAAAAAGACAGAGAGGUACACCUGUUCCCUUUAGAAAGAUUAAGUCUAGGUAAUGUGCCCAGCCCAUUUCUUUGCACACCUCGCAGUUAAGCAUGAUCAUGUUAUUAAGUGGUAGCUGAUGAAAUAAGUGGAGUGUACCACAGAACUCUGGGAAAAUCCUCAAAGGGGAAAAGACAUGCUCUCGGAUGUUCCUUCUUCUCAUGUGCAAUGAGUCUGGCAUGACUAAGGCUUCCAGCAGCCAUACUGGUCCAAGCAGUGACCCAGGAACCUGCGGAUGCCUGGGAUAGUGAGGCAAAGACAGAGCAAGUUUGGAUUCCAUGAAACACAGAGCUGUCAUUCAUGGCUCCCUCAUUGUGAAUCGUUAUUUGGUUUGUCUAUGACAUGCAGAUAUCAGGAUUACCAAAUGCUCUACUAGAUUUUUGUCUUAAAAAAAGUGCUGUACCUGAUGGUCCAUACCUGUAAUACAAGCUGUUCAAGAAGCCGAGGCAGAGGGGCUGCAAGUUCAAGGCCUGUGUAGUCCACAGUGAGUGCAGACUUCAUGAGACCUUAUCUCAAAAUGAAAAGUAAAAAGAAUCCCGGGGAUGCAGAUCAGUGGUGGAGUCCUUGCCAAGACAGCGCAAGAACCCAUAAUCAGUCCUCAAUAAAAAAGCCCUUAACCUGACAUUGUCAUUACCAUUCUUUCCACUUUCUUGUAUCAGGUGGACCAGCAGUUAUUCCGGAAGGGCUGGAGAGAUGCUCAGAGGUUAAGAGCUUGCACUGCUCUCGCAGAAGACUUUGGUUAACUUUCUGGCACUCCUGCCAGGCUGCUCACAGCUGUCUGUAGUCCAGUUCCAAGGAAGCUGGUACCUCUCGGGCCUUCAUGUGGACUUGACUUAUGUGCUUGCGCUCUCGCUCUCUCUCUCUCUCUGUGUCUCUCUGUCUCUCUCUCUCUCUCUCUCUCUCUCUCUUAAAAUAUGUUUUAAAAGGCUUAGCAAAUCUGAUGAUCAUUUAUUUUCCAAGAUCACUACCCCAUUGUUUUUGAGACAAGGUCUCAUGCAGUCAAGGCUGACUCUGAACUCCCUACAGAGCAGAAGAUGAACCUGAACUGAUCCUUUCCUCUCUACUUGACAAGUGCUGGAUUACAGGCAUCCUCCACCACGCCGAACCCAGGGGCAUCUUGCCGCGUUCUUUGUACUGCAUGAAAAGAACCUUUACUGAGCUGUUCCCCUCCUGAUUUAGAGUGCUAGGGUGGUAUCUGAGGUUGGAAAGCCAGCAUGUGGGCUCUGGGGACACGGCUCAGUUGGUGCAGUGUUGCCACGCAAGCGUGAGAACAGAGUUUGGAUCCCUGGCACCCAUGUAAAAAGCUGGAUGCAGUGGCAUCUGCCUGUAACCCUAAAGCUGGGAGGCAGAGACAAGAGGUUUCCUGGCUACUUGGGGAGCUCCAGCUUCGGUGAGGGUCCUUGUCUCAAAAACUAAGGUGGAGCAUGGUGGAGGAAGAUACCAGUGUCAACCUCUGGUCUCCAUAUGCACAUUGCACACACGUGUACCACCCCCUCAAAAGACACAAAGAGUGCUUGGCCACUGCGGCACACACCUUUAAUCCCAGUACUUAGGAGGCAGAGGCAGGUGGAUCUCUGUGAGUUCGAGACCAGUCUAGUCUACCUCAGAAGUUCCAGGUUAGCCAGGACUAAGAGAGGCCCUGUCAAAAAGACCUGAAGAGCAGUCUUUGGCUGGUACCCACCCCGUCUCCUAGCUUCCUUCCUCUUCCUACCUGCUCCAGACUCACCCUCCGUUCAUCUUCCCCAGCUCACUUAGCAGGGAGCUAAGACGAGCUGGACCGAGCUAGAACAACCAUGCAUUAUCCCAAGCUACGCCUGCAUUAGAAACGCCAUCCUGUCUCCUCAAAUCUCCCAACCCAUCAAGUCCAGCACUGUAAAACACAAAUAGUGGGAGUUUCAUUCCGUUUUCCUGGUGACGGCCAGCCCCAUCUGAGGCGAACCCUGUGACCAGCUCCCUUUCUCUCCAGGUGGCUGGCCGUGGGUCUAGCAGGCUGUGUCACUGGGCAUCUUGCCUACUGGGUACUUACUUAAAAAAAAGUCUGUGGCUUCUGGGGAAUGGAUGUUGUGAAAUGGAGUGAAAAGAACUUGAAGUCUGAAGCGAGUGAACUUUCCCUCUCCUCACAUGUGAGUAAUGACCUGCUGAUAGGAGCAGCUCUUUCAAGGAUGGAAAACAACUAAGAUUUAUGGACAGGUCUGUUGAAAACGGCCAGCACUGCUCGUAGCCAAGGUGGAAAGGUCAGGCGAUUCCUAGAUCUAUUCUAGGUUGAGAGGGUGAGCAGGAAGGGGAUGGGAAGAGAGAAGGCAGGAGGCCAGGGUGGGUACAGAAUGUAGGCAGGCUGGCCCGCUGGGAGACUUCCUGUGGACAUUCUGAGUUUUAUGCUGGUGUGAACAGAACCCCUGUGUACAGCACAGGGUGGUCAGUGAAGGCCUGUGCCCCCUGCAGAGCCCUGCUGCACACACUCUGAGGGAAAUGGGGUAGGGAUGACUGGACGGAUGGAGAUGGAGGGGUGUUGUCUCAGAAAGACAAUUCUGCUUCUGAGGGCUCUGACCACUCACUGUGUGUUGGGAAGCCACCAGAAAAAUAUCCCUGCCAGUUUCUCAGAGUCAAAUCCAAUUUUUGGCCAGAAGCUAUUCAUGUUUGGAUCAGUCUCUUACUUAUAACUCCUGAAGGGUGAGGGAGGAGCGGAGGCCCAGACUAAGGGUGCUGGGUAUAAUGUGAUACUGCACGUGACCCCCUCCUGUGAGUGCAGAGCCAAUGAUUUCAAGUGUGGUUGUAUAACCACAUCUUCAUCUUCAAAGUAUAAAAAUAGAGUGUGGACUAUCCAACAGGCCACCCCAUCACUUCACAGGCUGGAGAGGUCAGAGGACUUCCAUCAUCAUGGCCUGGUGGCAAGGCUUGUAAUACCAGGGACUUUUACUCUCUGGUAUGACCGGACUGAAGUGCUUGGGGAACCUGGCCAACCCAGCCUGCAAGGCUCAUUCUGGCUCGCAAGGGGCCACUGGGUCUACAGGGAGGCUAGGCAGGAAACCCGACCACCUCGAGGUCCACAGCCAUCUUCAUCUCCAAAAGCAGAGUGCUAGAGAGGCCAAGUCAUGGCCUCAGGCAGCCACUCUGUGCCGGUGUGCCUGCCAACCUGCUGGCACUGGAGGCCUGUCCUUCAAAAGCUCCUGGUGUGGGUGAGUGGAUGAGUCUCCUGCUGGAGAAACACCAGAACUGAAGAGGGUGGGUCUGACCAAAGAGACAGUGCUGAGGUCUGAAAGGCUGUGUGGACAAGGAGGUUCAAGGAACUGCCUGGGCCUUAAGAACCCAAGACACUUAUGCAGGCUGACCCAGCACAGCCCAGGACAACACUCACACGCGCGUGAAGUGGGUAUAGGCAAGGUGAAUCUACACGGACCGGGGACUCUCCCCACUCUUGGGUCCUUCCAAAGCAUGACUCUGCCGUGCCCCUCCACAUCUCUAGUCUUUAGACUCUAAGUGCCACCACCUACUUAAUUCUCCUUGCGGUCGAUUCUAACUACAUGCUGAUGUAACCACAAGGCUCGUCUUCUGACCAAGCCUUUGCAUUUUGGGUGUUGGAUGGGGCCUGAGAAGUAGAACAGGGACCCACAUUUACAUUUAUGAAGAUAGUGACAAUUUUUCAAUCAAAAUUCUUAUAUGAUUUCCCUUUCUCAUAAACGUGGCUGUGUGAGUUACUAAGAUAACACAACAUGGAUGCACAUGAGGUGAAAUCUGCUGUCUGUGAGUGGUACCACACUGGAGAGCAGGGGCUCCCAACAGCCAAGGCCGGGGCUCAGAUUCACGCAUGUCUGAGUCCCCAGCUGUUCGUGUGUAUGCUGCUGUCUCUCUUCAGUACUAGGACUCUGUAAGGACAAGAGGAUGCCAACAAGAUGGCACGUGAGAGGUGUGCAUCUAUUUUCUAACCCAUCUCCCCAUCACAUGGAGAAACAGACUUUUAGCUGAGCAUGUGGGCACUUAGCUCAUCUGACAGUCUGGGGGCUCUGGCUGGGACCUGUAGAGCAUGAGCAGGUCUUGGCUGCUAAGACUGAUGGGGGCAGUGAUGUACUAUUACAGUGGCCUGCCUUCCUUCCGAUUCACCACUGUGCAGAUGGAAGUGGGGCUGGACCUGCCAUCUCGAACCACAAGAGGGAUGGCACACAUAGAAGCUGCAGCAGCAGGGAAGAAGGUGAGGGUCCCUUAUGACAGGACCACCACAGUAGCCUGCUGGGCCGUCCGUCAGGCAGUGAACCGCCGAGCUGUGUAAGCUGCCAUGAACUUGGUCUGUGUUACGACAUCACAUCCAUGCCUACUAAAACACCAGUGGCUUCUAGCUUGAAACCAGAGUCCCCUUCAACAGAUGGCUCAUUGGUUCUAUCUGGUACUGUCAUUACCUCUGCUGGAGGUGAGGGGAGGGAGGCAAGAUCACAGUGGAAGGGAGGAGCCCAGAGAAGAUAAGCCACUGCCAAGGUCAGCUUUUUGACUCUCACCGUGUCGCUCUAGCUGGCCUGGAAUUCAGAGAUCUGCCUGCCUCUGCCUCCCAAGUGCUGGGAUUAAGGUCAUGUGCUACCUACCACACCCAGCUAAGAAAUUCAUUUUGACAAGCUCCCUCAGUACACUCGCUGAAGAUAUCCUGUCCUUUUAGACACACAGGACACUUGCCGCCUCAGAGAGCUGGCCAAAGCACAGCCCCUAGGACCCUGUCCAGUGACUAUACAUAAAGCCACAUCCAAACUACUGUCCUGUGCUCUUUACAUAUGUUGGGAUUCUGCUGUGCUCCAGCUGCAUGACUGCACAUGCGCAGUUCAGGAGCUAGACAAGGGGUCUUGAGUUUUAUGUCAUCAGUGUACGCGGGUGAUUACGUAUGUGUGGCUGUGAUCACGCAAUCUGUGCAUGUGUGUUGUAGCUCCAUAAGCCCACAUGUGCUUUAAAGAGCUGUGACUCAGACCCCACCCUCUCUCUGUUCUGUUCUCUCUUUCCCCACCAUCUUUCCCCCUCUCUCUGCACAUGCUCCUUCCCCAGACCUGGUUCUCUUGUUCCCCCCCACCCCUCUUCCUCCUAAUAAAGCUCUGAUACUGA